rnacentral:rRNA from 1 species
UACAGAGGGUGCGAGCGUUAAUCGGAAUUACUGGGCGUAAAGCGUGCGCAGGCGGUGAUGUAAGACCGUUGUGAAAUCCCCGGGCUCAACCUGGGAACUGCAUCUGUGACUGCAUCGCUGGAGUGCGGCAGAGGGGGAUGGAAUUCCGCGUGUAGCAGUGAAAUGCGUAGAUAUGCGGAGGAACACCGAUGGCGAAGGCAAUCCCCUGGGCCUGCACUGACGCUGAGGAGCGAAAGCCAGGGGAGCAAACGGG